UGGUCAGGAGGCCCCUGGCCUGCAGGCUUUGUGUCCGCCCCUCCCGGGAGCAGACUCCAGGCUGGUGUGGUGCCCGCUCAGGGCCAUUCACCAGAGUUAAACAUCUAGCCAGCAAGAGGGCGGGGGCCUCGGCUACGCUCCAGCUUCUGCCCUCCCCGGCCCUGCCCCAGUGGCUCUGUCCAUCCGUCCUGGGCAGUGCUCAGCAGCCUCACUUCCUCUCUCUGUGGCCCCCUCCCCUGCACAGGACCCAGGGCACCCCGUCGGCUCCUCCGUCCCCAUCUAAUGCCACCUCACAGUCACUUGUUCAUUCAUUCGACACGCAUUCAUUAAGCGCCCUCUGUGGCUUGCCCAGGUCUCUGAUCCCUCAGCUGUCAUGUAGCUGUUCUCGGGACAAGCUUUACUUUCUCGCCUUGUAAAGUGGUCUUGGGUGGGUCAUGUCACCUUCUUCCCCAGGCCCCGCUGGGAUGGCCCAUGGGACGUUGCCAUCACAGGUUGAGCACCUACCAUGUGCCGGGCACUGUGUCAUGCAGGUUACAAAUAUCCUCCCACAGAUGUCCCCGCAAGCCCUGGAAAGCCAGGGCCUCUUCUGCUCCCUGCCCCUCACUUGCAGAAAGUGAAGCUCAGAGAGGCAGAGUGACCUGCCCCGGGGCGCACAGCUGGUGAGAGGCCAAGCCAGGGCUUCUUGCUCCAAAGUCUGGGAUUCGCAGGGCUCCACAACCCCUCGCCUGUUGGUGUUGGCUGCGUGUAACAGCCACAUCCUACGAUGAGAUUUUCUGUGGCUUCUCAGUCCCCUCAAACCCCUGUAGAUGGCAGCUCGGUCCUGUCCCCGACCCUGACCUCGGGGUCCUGAAUCUCCAGCCCAGAAAUGUUGACCUUGACGUCAACCCUGCAGGCUCAAACAAUCCCCAAAGGUGCCCCUCGUCCUAACCCCUGCACCUGCAACUGUGUUAACUUGGGUGGCCAAGGGACUCUGCAGACAUGAUUCAGUGAAGGACCUGGAUGUGGGGGGCGGGUGUGUGUCCUGGAUUAGCCAGUGGGCCUGAGGAACCCCGGGGCCCUCACAGGAGGGAGCCAGGGGCAUCACACUCAGAGAGAGGAACUGGAAGAUGCUCCAAUGAUGGAUUUGGAGAAAGAGGAAGGGGCCAGGAGCCAAGGAAUUCGGGUGGCCUGGAAGCUGGGAGCACAAGGACCAGGGCUUCCCAGAGCCUCUAGAAGGAACCAGCCCUGUCGACAUCCGGAUUUUGGCCCAGUGAGAGCCAUGUCUGACUUCUGACCUGCAGAAGCAGGAGAGAAGCAGCUGCGAGGUUUCAGCCUCUAAGCUUGUGGUGAUUUGUCAGGGCAGCCAUGGGACACUCACACAACGCCCUGGACACCCCGCUGCUGUACGAGUCCUGGCCGUGCCUGACCUCCUCCCUUCCCUACCCCCAGGUUGAUGCAAGGCGGCCCCCACCCACACCCAGACCCCAGGCGUGAAGGAGGUCUUGGCCGCCCCAGCCUCUCCGGUCUCGCAGCCUCUGGGCUCUGGGCCCUGCCUCUGGCCCUGCUCGCUUUCUGCCCUGGGCCAUUGUUAGUGCCUUAUCAGCCCAGCACAUCUCGCCUGCAUCUAAUUGGAAUUUCCUCAGAGGCAGGAAACCUGGCUCAGGCGUCAUCAGGGCUCAGAUGGUGGACCUGUGGCCUUCCUACUGGGUAAACUGGGUAAACUGAGGAACUGACUUUUACUGAGUCGCACACCUGCCCACUCUUGGCUAACCUCCUGGGGCUGCUUGAUGCUGUUUCCCGUGGCCCAGGAAGCCCUCAAAGUCAGCCCAUCUUCCCUCCCGCUGUGUCCUCCUGCAGGGCCUCUGCCCAGGCAGCUCUCUCUGCCCGUAAGCUCAGCCCCUCUGGGUGCAGAGCUGCUCCGUCUUGCUCAGGGCUCAGCGCGGCAGGAGUGAGAAGCCACCUCUUCGAGAGCUGCCCCGCACGGCACUCCCUUGCUGGAAAUCACUUCAUUUAUUGCUUGGCCUUUUUUUUUUCCCCUGAAUCUUCUGAGGGGAUCAUGGUGCCUACACCACUCCCAGGACCUGUUUCGAGGCACGGGGUCCACGUGUCUCUCACAGAUGGGCCACGGCAGCUGUUGCACAAAGGUGUUCCUGGCUCCAGCUGACCUCAGGCGAGUCAAGUCUCCUCCUGGGCUGGGGGUUGCACCUGGAACAUGGCAAUACAAAGGCAGGUCUGGUAAGGACAUAAGACGCCUGAUGGCACACACAGUAUGUGCUCAGCUAACAGCAGCUCUUUCCCUUGACCCUCCAAUGAUCGUCAAGGUGCCCCCUUGAUCCACAGGCCAGGGAGGUUAUUGAUUGAUAAAAUGUUUCCCCUGGCAUGGAAUGCACAGCCCAUGAUGCCCUGUCCUCCUUCAGGCAGAGCUGAGGGCACAGGAGACCCACAGCUGUGCGGACUCCCCGCUGGUGGGGAUGGCCACAUUCCAGGUGGGACAACAGAGCUCUGCUCAGGGUCAUACAGCUGACAUGUCACAGAUUCAGACUUCCAACCUGCUCUGUGUGGCUUUGCCGUGGCCCGAAGAAGAAGAGCAGGACUCAGAGGCAUCUCACAGGUGGACAAAGACCCCAAUCUGCAUGCAGCGGUUAAAGCUCCCUGUACACCUCCUGCUGUGGACAGAGACCCCCGAAUCUGCGUGCAGCGGUUAAAGGUCCCUGUACCCCUCCUGCUGUGGACAGAGACCCCCGAAUCUGCGUGCAGCGGUUAAAGGUCCCUGUAUGCCUCCUGCUGUAACCAGAACCCCACGAACAGCUCGUGUCAAGGUUCCCAGGCCGGCCAGGCAGGGCUGGGCAGAGUGAGGUGCUCCAGCUCACGGACAGGGGGACUAAAAAGGCUUGGGGGCUCAGAGAACGUUCAUUCCAGUUCCCCAGGGACAGGAAUCCGCCCCAGCCCAGGUUCCUGCCCCAGCGAGGCCUUCUCAUCGGCGUGAUCGGGGUCUGGUUUGCAGCCAGGCCACACAAAGCCACACAGAGCAGCCUCGGAAGUUUGGUGACAGAAAACGACGUGACCUUGGCGGGGUUUGGAGGCUGCAGCUUUUGGCGGGGCAGGUCAGGGCCCCGGGGUGUUGUGGCCACAGAGCCACGCAGGGGAGGCGCUAGGUUGUGGGUUAGGGGACGGGGAGGCCCCUUCAUCCCUGGCCAGGUUGGGCAGCAGUGACGCCUUCUUUCCUCCCCCACUGCCCCCCUACAACCCCGACACUCUUCACGGAACCCCUGUGUCUGCUAGGCACUGGGUAGGCACUAUUUGUAUAAAUAAAACUCCUUUUGGGCCUGUG
rnacentral:lncRNA from 10 species